rnacentral:rRNA from 1 species
CCUACGGGUGGCAGCAGUAGGGAAUUUUGCGCAAUGGGCGAAAGCCUGACGCAGCAACGCCGCGUGAUUGAUUAAGCCCUUCGGGGUGUAAAGAUCUGUCAGUGGGGACGAAACUUGACGGUACUCACAGAGGCAGCACCGGCCAACCCCGUGCCAGCAGCCGCGGUAAUAAGGAGGGUGCAAGCGUUGUCCGGAAUCAUUGGGCGUAAAGGGUUCGUAGGUGGCAGAUUAAGUCUUGUGUUAAAUGCAGAAGCUCAACUUGUGUUCGGCAGUGGAUCCUGGUAGGCUUGAGUGCGGUAGAGGUAGGGGGAAUUCGUGGUGUAGCGGUGAAAUGCGUAGAUAUCACGAGGAACAUCGGUGGCGAAAGCGCUUUGCUGGGCCGUAAUUGACGCUGAGGAACGAAAGCCGGGGUAGCAAAUAGGAUUAGAUACCCUUGUAGUC